rnacentral:rRNA from 1 species
AGCUCCAAUAGCGUAUAUUAAAGUUGUUGCAGUUAAAAAGCUCGUAGUUGGAUUUGUGGCUGUCACGGGCGGCCUAUCACUUAGUGUUAGUGCUUGCCUGUGUCGCCAUCCUUGGGUGGAGCCCGUGUGGCAUUAGGUUGUCGUGCGGGGGAUGCCCAUCGUUUACUGUGAGAAAAUUAGAGUGUUCAAAGCAGGCUUAUGCCGUUGAAUAUGUUAGCAUGGAAUAAUAAGAUAGGACCUCGGUACUAUUUUGUUGGUUUGCGCACCGAGGUAAUGAUUAAUAGGGACAGUUGGGGGUAUUCGUAUUCCAUUGUCAGAGGUGAAAUUCUUGGAUUUCUGGAAGACGAACUACUGCGAAAGCAUUUACCAAGGAUGUUUUCA